CCCUUAGAUGUCCUGGGCCGCACGCGCACUACAAUGACUCACUCAGAAAGUUUUUCCUGAUCCGGAAGGAUUCGGGUAAUCUUCAUAGCAUGAGUCGUGUUAGGGAUCGAUCUUUGCAAUUAUAGAUCUUGAACGAGGAAUGCCUAGUAAGUGCAGCUCAUCAGGCUGUACUGAUUACGUCCCUGCCCUUUGUACACACCGCCCGUCGCUCCUACCGAUUGAGUGGUCCGGUGAACCUUCUGGAUUAAGCAGCAAUGCUUGAGAAGUUAGGUAAACCUUAUCACUUAGAGGAAGGAGAAGUCGUAACA
rnacentral:rRNA from 1 species